GUUGGUUAAGGACAAGGCUGAAGCAGACAGAUCACUCUGAUGAACGCAUCUAUUUUUCAGAAAAUAUGGUGGUUUGGAACAUGUUGGAAUGGAGACAAGUGGAAAAGACAAAUUUUGGAGGUAGAACUGACAGCACCUGAUGAUGGAAACUCCCAGGAAUGGAUGCUGCUUAUGAAAGAGGAGCUGGAAGGAGGGCAAAAGAAUAUGAAAUCCACAGUCAGUACCAAAAUAACCACAACUAGCUGAUGUGGCCGCUUUCAU
rnacentral:lncRNA from 1 species